CCUACGGGAGGCAGCAGUGGGGAAUAUUGCACAAUGGGGGAAACCCUGAUGCAGCGACGCCGCGUGAGUGAAGAAGUAUUUCGGUAUGUAAAGCUCUAUCAGCAGGGAAGAAAAAAGACGGUACCUGACCAAGAAGCCCCGGCUAACUACGUGCCAGCAGCCGCGGUAAUACGUAGGGGGCCAGCGUUAUCCGGAUUUACUGGGUGUAAAGGGAGCGUAGACGGUAUGGCAAGUCUGAAGUGAAAGUCCAGGGCUUAACCCUGGGACUGCUGUGGAAACUGGUAGACUAGAGUGCUGGAGAGGUAAGUGGAAUGCGUGGUGUAGCGGUGAAAUGCGUAGAUAUUAGGAGGAACACCGGUGGCGAAGGCGGCUUACUGGACAGUAACUGACGUUGAGGCUCGAAAGCGUGGGGAGCAAACAGGAUUAGAUACCCCAGUAGUC
rnacentral:rRNA from 1 species